GGGUGAGUAACACGUGGAUAAUCUGCCCUUAAAUCUGGGAUAAUCCUCCGAAAGGGGGUCUAAUACCGGAUAAUACCCCUUGAUGGCAUCAUCUAAGGGUCAAAGGCGGGGUAACCUGCCGUUUAAGGAUGAGUCCGCGUCCCAUUAGCUUGUUGGUGAGGUAACGGCCUACCAAGGCUACGAUGGUUAGCUGGUCUGAGAGGAUGAUCAGCCACACUGGAACUGACACACGGUCCAGACUCCUACGGGAGGCAGCAGUGAGGAAUUUUGCGCAAUGGGGGAAACCCUGACGCAGCAACGCCGCGUGAGUGAUGAAGGCUUUAGGGUCGUAAAGCUCUGUCAAGUGGGAAGAACCUGCCCGGGAAUAAUACGUCCGGGUACUGACGGUACCACUGAAGGAAGCACCGGCUAACUCCGUGCCAGCAGCCGCGGUAAUACGGGGGGUGCAAGCGUUAUUCGGAAUCACUGGGCGUAAAGCGCGCGCAGGCGGCUAUUUAAGUUGGAUGUGAAAGCCUACGGCUCAACCGUAGAACUGCAUCCAAAACUAUUUAGCUAGAGUGUGGGAGAGGAAGAUGGAAUUAGUUGUGUAGGGGUAAAAUCCGUAGAGAUAACUAGGAAUACCAAAAGCGAAGGCAAUCUUCUGGAACAUUACUGACGCUGAGGCGCGAAAGCGUGGGGAGCAAACAGGAUUAGAUACCCUGGUAGUCCACGCCCUAAACGAUGAAUGUUA
rnacentral:rRNA from 1 species